ACGACGCUCGUCUCCAUUCUUCGCCCACCAGAAACCAAACCCUAGCCAUUACUCCGGCGGCGGCGGCUCUCCAGCAGCCCACAGCGGCGGACCACGCCCUGUCUGCCCUACUCCCCUUCUCUCUCUCUCGCUCUCUCUCUCUCCGGGUUUCGCAACCACAAGGGCCGUAUCCUCCGUCCAGCUCGGAGGAUCUUGGAGCGCGUGAUGAGGGACAGGCGCGACACAGGUGUGAAGAGGUGUCGCUGUCCCGUGCUGCACCGAGGAGCAGAGGCGGUGCUGUGGGGAGGCCUGUCACCUUAAUGAAUCACGAAAUGCAGGUGUAGACGGGAAAGGCUGGCUUGUUGUCAUAUGCUGUGGAGCACCAGAGGCUGCAGUCUGAGCGCCUGAACUCGGUAUAGACUUUAGACCGACUUUAACCGGAAGCUGCCGCUAUCUUUGUUAAACCUGGAUCAGCUGACAACACUCUUUGCUGCAAACAACCUAUUGCAGACUGACAUGAUUGCUUUAUCUGGAAAGCGCGGAAGCCAAAAUACUUAGAGAAAGCUUUAUGCCUAUAUAGUGGUGAUGGAGUUACAAGAAUGAAGAAUUAUAGAAAGGUUUAUUGGUGACUACCGGUGCUGAUGGGGCAUGAAGAAAUCUAUAAGCGGAAUCAUAUUUAGUUCUAUUUUGUUAUGCCAAACGUAGUAUGCAAACUUGUAGUCAGAGGUGAUGUUUUACUCUACUGCGUAGUCAUGUUUAUUUUAGCAGUACUCUGGUUAUUAUGUUAUUUACUUUGGUUGAGACAUGUAUUUGAAGUUAAUGAAGGUUUGAGUUCUUAUAUGCGAUGAUGAAAUCUA